rnacentral:lncRNA from 1 species
GAGCCAGUCCUGGGAUAGCUGGAGCUGCACAGAGAAACUCUAUCUCUAGAAACAAAAACAAACCUAAUAAAAACGAGGAAAGGCUUUUUAUACUGACGAUACCAGAUCUUCAAAAUAAGUACAACUGGGUGGGGUGCAUAAGAGGAAUAGGUGCUGUGAAACAGGAGGAAUGCAAGCGUCUGCUGUGCUGCUGCCCAUGUGUAUUGCAGUGUAGACUGACAAGCACGGACGCAGGACUGACACCACCCUUGUAUCAUGAAUGUUUUAUUCCUUAGUGAGUGAAUUUUUUUACCUUUUUCUUUCUUUCUUUCCUUUUUUUUUUUUUUUUUUUUUUUGGAGACAGUCUUGUUUGUAGCUCUGUGAAUGCAUGUGUAGACCAGGCUGGUCUCAGAUUUGCAGUGUGAUUCUCUUGCUUCAUCUUCCUACGUAUUGGGAUUACAAGCAUGAGCCGUCAUGCCUGGGUCAAAACUGUUUUAAAACUGAGACUGAAUAUUGUAGUGCAUACCUGCAGCCCUGGCUCUGGCCCUGGCUCUGGGGAAGCUGAAGCAAGUCGGAAGAUUGCAGUGAGCCUGAAGGCAGCCUGGGUUACCUAGUGAGAACCUGUCUGAAAAACCAAAGAUUUGCUUAAACCUGUCUUCUUUGUCCUGGAGGAAUGUCCCUGUGGUGCAUGGCAGCCACAGUCGCUCUCCUGUGGGUCCCACGUGGGUUAUCUUUAGGGCAGAAAAGCAGAACUUUAUUAUAAAGCUUGUUGCAGUUAUACAGGUUUUUUGGUUUUUUGUUUUUGUUUAUUUUGACAACUCAUUUUAUAGACCAGACUGUCCUCAUUAAACUCAGAGAUCAGUCUGCCUCCCAAGUGCUGGGAUUAAAGGCCUGCUCCACACCUGUGAGGAGACAGCUGAACCUAGAGGAAACCCUGUAACCUCUACCCACCAUGGUCUGCUCCUCUGGGAGCAGGAAGGAGGAAGCAAAGAUGUGGGCAUUAGCUAACUCCCUUUAGGCCUGGUAGCCAUCCUGUGCUGUGGUUGGUGUUUGAGUUCCUCCUCUUGGGAAGGACUGUGCUGUGUGCUGCAGCUGGCAAGGGACUGUGGAUACUGUAGCACUUGGUUGCUUUUUGCGGGUGACAAGCACAGUGGCGGUAACUGGAGGUGCCCUCCUGUGCUAAAGUAUGGAGACUGUGGCCUUCACAGGGUCUAGAAAAGCCUCAUCAUUUCCUGUUGUUUCCUCAGGGCUGGAGCAGUUUUACCACUGGGGCGAGCAAGUUUGCGUCUGCAGCAAAGGAGGGUGCUACAAAAUUUGGAUCUCAAGCAAGUCAAAAGGUAAAGAGGAGAAGCUUUUACUCUCUUAGUCUUGCCAGGUGGUGGUGGUGUACACUUUUGAUCCCAGCACCCGGGAGGCAGAAGCAGGCAGAUCUCUGAGUUCAAGGCUAGAUUUGUCU